UCCGCCUUGGUGUAAUUGGCAGCACACGGGUUCUUGGUGCCCUGAGUCCAGGUUCGAGUCCUGGGGGCGGAG
rnacentral:tRNA from 1 species